rnacentral:rRNA from 1 species
UACGAACUGUGCGAGCGUUAUUCGGAAUCACUGGGCUUACAGGGUGCGUAGGCGGCUCAACAAGUCAGGUGUGAAAGCCCCCGGCUCAACCGGGGAACUGCGCUUGAAACUGUUAGGCUCGAGUCAGCUAGAGGUACACGGAACUUCCAGUGGAGCGGUGAAAUGUGUUGAUAUUGGAAGGAACACCGGAGGCGAAAGCGGUGUACUGGGGCUGGUCUGACGCUGAUGCGCGAAAGCGUGGGGAGCGAUCCGG